GAUUUACGAGCAACCCCAAGCCCUCCCUCCUACUCCCCACAGCCACAGUGGACUGGAAGUACCUUUUCCCAGUGCACACGCUGAGGACCCAGCGCCUACCGGCCGAGCACCCCCUAGGGCAGAGGGGCGAGGGAGACCCGCGGGAAGGGGCAGCAAGCCGCCUGAUUGACAGCCCGAAAUCUGAUCUUGUGAAAGAGACGCGGAGCCAAUGGGAGGCAGCGAUCCAUCAGUUUGGAUUGGAGGCCCCUGGAGGAGAAGUAGAGGAAAAACCACCGAAUUGAGCUCUGUCAGAGGCGCUUUCGGCUUCCAAGGGGGAAGUGCUGGGCUAUAAUUAAUGUUUUUAUUAAAUUUGGAGGGAAGUUUUUGCAGCCUUUCGCCUAGCGUGGCCUUCAGUCCCGUUAGGUGCAAAGCAAGUCUCGUUGAUCGCCAUUGCUAGUUUUGCACACGUUUGCGAAUCAGAGCUGCCCGGGGUACACCGACCGCGCAGGGAAACAUCGAGAGUGUAAAUAAAUACAUCGCCUCUUGUUCGGAUUUUUGCUACUACCGAAAA
rnacentral:sRNA from 1 species